UGGGGAAUAUUGGGCAAUGGGGGCAACCCUGAUCCAGCCAUGCCGCGUGAGUGAUGAAGGCCUUCGGGUUGUAAAGCUCUUUUGGCGGGGACGAUGAUGACGGUACCCGCAGAAUAAGCCCCGGCUAACUUCGUGCCGGCAGCCGCGGUAAGACGAAGGGGGGCUAGCGUUGUUCGGAAUUACUGGGCGUAAAGCGAGUGUAGGCGGUUGUCGUAGUCAGGUGUGAAAGCCUUGAGCUCAACUCAAGAAAUGCACUUGAUACUGGGUGACUAGAGGACCGGAGAGGAUAGUGGAAUUCCCCAGUGUAGUGGUGAAAUACGUAGAGAUUGGGAAGAACACCGGUGGCGAAGGCGGCUAUCUGGACGGUUACUGACGCUAAGACUCGAAAGCGUGGGGAGCAAACAGGAUUAGAUACCCUGGUAGUCCACGCCGUAAACGAUGGGUGCUAGACGUUGGCGAGCUUGCUCGUCAGUGUCGCAGCUAACGCGUUAAGCA
rnacentral:rRNA from 1 species